CCUACGGGCGGCAGCAGUGAGGAAUAUUGGUCAAUGGGCGGGAGACUGAACCAGCCAAGCCGCGUGAGGGAUGAAGGUACAGAGGAUCGUAAACCUCUUUUGUCAGGGAACAAAGGCGGGGACGUGUCCCCGGAUGAGUGUACCUGAAGAAAAAGCAUCGGCUAACUCCGUGCCAGCAGCCGCGGUAAUACGGAGGAUGCGAGCGUUAUCCGGAUUUAUUGGGUUAAAAGGGUGCGCAGGCGGUCUGUUAAGUCAGCGGUAAAAGCCCGGGGCCCAACCCCGGCCCGCCGUUGAAACUGGCAGUCUCGAGUUGGAGAGAAGUAUGCGGAAUGCGCGGUGUAGCGGUGAAAUGCAUAGAUAUCGCGCAGAACUCCGAUUGCGAAGGCAGCAUGCCGGCUCCACACUGACGCUGAGGCACGAAAGCGUGGGUAUCGAACAGGAUUAGAUACCCCAGUAGUC
rnacentral:rRNA from 1 species